UACGGGGGAUGCAAGCGUUAUCCGGAAUCAUUGGGUGUAAAGCGCCUGUAGGUUGUUUGAUAAGUCUGUUGUUAAAGCCUAGGGCUUAACCCUAGAAAAGCGAUGGAAACUACCAGACUAGAGUAUGGAAGGGGUAGAGGGAAUUUCUAGUGUAGCGGUGAAAUGCGUAGAUAUUAGAAAGAACACCAGCGGCGAAAGCGCUCUACUGGACCAUUACUGACACUCAGAGACGAAAGCUAGGGUAGCAAAAGGGAUUAGAUACCCCUGUAGUCCUAGCCGUAAACGAUGGAUACUAGAUGUUGUGUUUAUAUGCAGUAUCGUAGCUAACGCGUUAAGUAUCCCGCCUGGGGAGUACGCUCGCAAGGGUG
rnacentral:rRNA from 1 species